GUAGCUUCAUCCACAAAUUGAGUCAUCAGUGCGAAAGACAAACUCAACAGUCAACUGUCAACAUGGCUACAUUUUCCUGUCAAUAUGUGAAGGGUGCAACUUGUGCAUGUAUUCCAAAGUUGCUGUGCGAUCAGCAGGUUAGACUGUGGCCCUACACCCUGCAAGCACUAAUCAGGUGAGAAUAAAUGUGUCUGAUAUUUUAUUGGCAUUUGUACCACUUCACCAAGAAGACUUUGCCCAAACGGCGCCGAGACCACCAUCUUCUUCCAACAGACCCUCUGGUGGUCACGAACUACUCUGUUGAGGUUCGGAACUGCUUUGAUGUUCUUGAUCAACUGUCCAACUCUGUUGAAGACUCCUGGGUCCCGUACCGUGAUACAGUUCUCGGUGCCGUUGAGGCUGCUGUUCGUUCCUGUCUUUCAAAGCAGCGUCCCCAGGCUCACCGGAGAGACCAUUGACAUCAUAGAGCAUAAAUGUGGUGCUCGUCUGAGCUGCCACCAUGCUGAAAGUAACUGUCUGGUGGGGAUGUACAAGGCCAAAGCGAAGCAAGACCUUGAUGCUUGGUACGACUCUGUUGUCUCUGAAGCCGAAGCUGGCCUGAAACAAAAAAAUCUCCACCCCGCCUUCAAGGCAGUCAAGUGUCUUCACGGAUGUAGCAAGCAUUCAGCUUCAUUUCUGAUUUCCAAGGCAGAACGUUCUCCCUGCAACUGGGUGGAUGAAACCCUGUCCCACUGGAAAGACUACCAGGGUCAAGGUUGGCAACGACCUUUCUCCCUCCUUCGUCCAGAGUUCGGCAGUGCUGUGUGCUGGCACCAACCUUGUUCUGCUUAGCCAUGGACACUAUCCUGUCACAGUGUGAGGAUUCAAUGCAGGCAAUCACAGGUUUACCGACCUCCUGUAUGCAGAUGAUGCCGCUCUCUUCAAAGGAUCCAACCACAUGGGGAGAACUUCUCGCAACCUUUGACCGUAAAGCCACUUACGUGGGCCUAAACCAUCAUGGACAAAAACCAAGGUUCAGUCACUAUGCGGUCCAGCACCUGUUCAAAUUUCUCUGGAUUGGGAUGUUGUCGAAUCUGUUGAGUCCUUUUGUUAUUUUGAGUGCACUAUCGACUCAUCAGGUUUCUGCAGUAAGGACAUACUAUGCAGAAUUGGCAUCGCCAGUACCAUCAUGGGCUAACUUGAUUGUCUUUGGAGAAGCAAGGCUAGUCUUUUGGUAAAACUUUGGUUUUAUCGCGCAUGAAAGAACAAGAACGCAUUCAAGCUUUCCACAUGCAGUGUCAGUGUUGUAUACUUGGAGUUUCAUGGUGCAGUUUCAUUUCCAAUGCAAUCAUCCAGGUAACAUUUUGUCUGAGAUCUCAGGGAGGCGACACACCCUUUUUGGUCAUGUUCGGCGCCUCCAAGCUCCUACCCCUGCUCGUCUUGCCCUUGAUGCUGCCGUCCAGUUCCACCUUGGGCAACGGCCUGCCACCUGGAUGAGGCCUCGUGGUCGUCCCCGGCUUCCCUGGCUUAAGCAGGUUGUGGAUGCUGUGCAGCUGUCGCCAAUCGAGUGCUGGUCCUUUGCUCUUGAUCAGGGAGGUUGCAGGUCACUACAACUCACUGAUGGUCAAGUGCAGCAGUAAGUAAGUACAUAAGUCAUCAACCACAAAUCUGCAUGUUUCUCCCAGUUGCCAGUGUGCUCUCCAACAGCAUCACUCUGCGUGCCAGUAUUAUUAAUAUUUUUCAGAUGUUCUCAACCACCAAUCAAAAUGUUGUCUCCCAGUUGCCAGUGUGGUCUCCAACAGCGUGACUCGGACUGUGCAUGUUAGUCUUGAAAAUUGUUUAGGGAGGCACAGUAAUAAUAAGCGGCUGAAAUGAAGCUAUGCCAACAUCCUUCUUUCAAACAUGUCAAGGCAGAGUUACUGAGUGAUUCUACCAUCUCGGUCAGCAUUUAGAAUUCAAAUGGCCAAACACGUAUGACGCAUUCAAGAAUGGCCCUAAAUUGUCUUCUGCUGUUACAAGCAACAUGUACAUGUAUAUCAUUCACUUGAACCUUAAGAAACAUGAAAUGGGAAAGUGUCUUCACAAAACUCUGUCUAAAGUAUCACUCAU